CAAAGGAAUUGACGGGGGCCCGCACAAGCGGUGGAACAUGUGGUUCAAUUCGACGCAACGCGAAGAACCUUACCUGGGCUUGAACCGCUAUUGACCAACGAUAGAAAUAUUGUCUUCCCGCAAGGGACAGUAGUAGAGGUGCUGCAUGGCUGUCGUCAGCUCGUGCCGUGAGGUGUUGGGUUAAGUUCCGCAACGAGCGCAACCGUUAUUAGUAGUUGCCACCUGCAAGGGGGAACUCUACGAGGACUGCUCCGGAUAACGGAGAGGAAGGUGGGGAUGACGUCAAGUCAGCACGGCCUUUAUGUCCAGGGCUACACACGUGUUACAAUGCACGGUACAGACUGUUGCGAACCCGCGAGGGGGAGCUAAUCGGAUAAAACCGUGCUCAGUUCGGAUUGCAGUCUGCAACUCGACUGCAUGAAGCUGGAAUCGCUAGUAAUGGCGCAUCAGAUUGGCGCCGUGAAUACGUUCCCGGGCCUUGUACACACCGCCCGUCACAUCACGAAAGUGAGUUGUACUAGAAGUCGCUCAGCUAACCGUAAGGAAGCAAGCGCCCAAGGUAUGACCCAUGAUUGGGGUGAAGUCGUAACAAGGUAACCGUA
rnacentral:rRNA from 1 species